UGGGGAAUUUUGGACAAUGGGCGAAAGCCUGAUCCAGCAAUGCCGCGUGUGUGAAGAAGGCCUUCGGGUUGUAAAGCACUUUUGUCCGGAAAGAAAUCCUUGGCUCUAAUACAGUCGGGGGAUGACGGUACCGGAAGAAUAAGCACCGGCUAACUACGUGCCAGCAGCCGCGGUAAUACGUAGGGUGCAAGCGUUAAUCGGAAUUACUGGGCGUAAAGCGUGCGCAGGCGGUUUGCUAAGACCGAUGUGAAAUCCCCGGGCUCAACCUGGGAACUGCAUUGGUGACUGGCAGGCUAGAGUAUGGCAGAGGGGGGUAGAAUUCCACGUGUAGCAGUGAAAUGCGUAGAGAUGUGGAGGAAUACCGAUGGCGAAGGCAGCCCCCUGGGCCAAUACUGACGCUCAUGCACGAAAGCGUGGGGAGCAAACAGGAUUAGAUACCCUGGUAGUCCACGCCCUAAACGAUGCCAACUAGUUGUUGGGGAUUCAUUUUCCUUAGUAACGUAGCUAACGCGUGAAGUUGACCGCCUGGGGAGUACGGUCGCAAGAUUAAAACUCAAAGGAAUUGACGGGGUCAUAGCUGUUUCCU
rnacentral:rRNA from 1 species